GUGGCAUUUAGAGUAGGAAUUUCCAAAAUAUCUGUAGUUACCAUGGAAACAAUGCUAAAAGGUCAAAAAUUUCAAAAAAAAAAUAAAAAUGCUGCAAACUGGAUGAAACUUUACAGAAAUGGUCACUGGCAUGCGCAGAGUUGACUUUUGAAGUUGGAAUUUUCAAAAUGGCCGCCGUAACCAUGGAAACAGCAAAAAUUAAAAAAA
rnacentral:lncRNA from 1 species